GGCUUAAUGUCUUGUAAUUGGAAUGAUGGGAAUUUAAACCUCUUCCAGAGUAUCAAUUGGAGGGCAAGUCUGGUGCCAGCAGCCGCGGUAAUUCCAGCUCCAAUAGCGUAUAUUAAAAUUGUUGCAGUUAAAAAGCUCGUAGUUGAAUUUCUGCUACAUUGCCUAUUCUCCUUUACGAGUUUGGGUCUUUUGCGGCUUAUCUGGGUUCGCUUGCGUUCCCGGUGUUUUACUUUGAGAAAAUUAGAGUGCUCAAAGCAGGCUUUUGCCUUGAAUAGUUUAGCAUGGAAUAAUAAAGUAGGACUUUGGUUCUAUUUUGUUGGUUUUAGGUACCAAAGUAAUGGUUAAUAGGAACAGUUGGGGGCAUUCGUAUUUAACUGUCAGAGGUGAAAUUCUUAGA
rnacentral:rRNA from 1 species